rnacentral:rRNA from 1 species
AGUGAACGCUGGCGGUAGGCCUAACACAUGCAAGUCGAACGGCAGCACAGUAAGAGCUUGCUCUUACGGGUGGCGAGUGGCGGACGGGUGAGGAAUACAUCGGAAUCUACUUUUUCGUGGGGGAUAACGUAGGGAAACUUACGCUAAUACCGCAUACGACCUACGGGUGAAAGCUUGGGAUCUUCGGACCUUGUGCGAUUGAAUGAGCCGAUGUCGGAUUAGAUAGUUGGCGGGGUAAAGGCCCACCAAGGCGACGAACCGUAGCUGGUCUGGGCGAAGGGUCAGCGACACUGGAAGGGAGACAGGGACAAUGCGACUGCGGGACGGAGCAGUGGGGAACAGGGGGCAGUGGGCGCAAGCCUGAUCCAGCGAGCCCGAGUGGGUGAAGGAGGCGUUGGGGUUGGAAAGACCGUUUGCUGGGUAUGAAACGCAGCAAGUUAAGAACCCGCUGUUCUGACGGUACCCAAAGAAGAAGCACCGGCUAACUUCGUG